CCUACGGGCGGCUGCAGUGGGGAAUAUUGGACAAUGGGCGAAAGCCUGAUCCAGCCAUGCCGCGUGUGUGAAGAAGGCCUUCGGGUUGUAAAGCACUUUCAGUGGGGAAGAAAGCCUUGGGGCUAAUACCCUCGAGGAAGGACAUCACCCACAGAAGAAGCACCGGCUAACUCCGUGCCAGCAGCCGCGGUAAUACGGAGGGUGCGAGCGUUAAUCGGAAUUACUGGGCGUAAAGCGCGCGUAGGCGGUCUGAUAAGCCGGUUGUGAAAGCCCCGGGCUCAACCUGGGAACGGCAUCCGGAACUGUCAGGCUAGAGUGCAGGAGAGGAAGGUAGAAUUCCCGGUGUAGCGGUGAAAUGCGUAGAGAUCGGGAGGAAUACCAGAGGCGAAGGCGGCCUUCUGGACUGACACUGACGCUGAGGUGCGAAAGCGUGGGUAGCAAACAGGAUUAGAUACCCUAGUAGUC
rnacentral:rRNA from 1 species